rnacentral:rRNA from 1 species
UACGAGGGGGCGAGCGUUGUUCGGAAUUAUUGGGCGUAAAGGGUGCGUAGGCGGUUCCGCAAGUCCUGUGUGAAAUCUUCGGGCUCAACUCGAAGUCUGCACGGGAAACUGCGGGGCUUGAGUGUGGGAGAGGUGAGUGGGAUUCCCGGUGUAGCGGUGAAAUGCGUAGAUAUCGGGAGGAACACCUGUGGCGAAAGCGGCUCACUGGACCAUAACUGACGCUGAUGCACGAAAGCUGGGGGGAGCAAACAGG